GGCGGCUGGCGCAGCGGGAGGCCCGCGGGGGUGGUGCCGCCGACGGUGGACUGCUGCUGCGCGGUGCCGUUCAGGUCCGCGGAGCGCCGC
rnacentral:tRNA from 1 species